ACCGUAACUUCGGGAGAAGGUGCGCCGGCGAAGGUGAAGGGCUUGCCCCGUAAGCUUUUGCUGGUCGAAGAUACCAGGCCGCUGCGACUGUUUAUUAAAAACACAGCACUCUGCAAACACGAAAGUGGACGUAUAGGGUGUGACGCCUGCCCGGUGCCGGAAGGUUAAUUGAUGGGGUUAGCGCAAGCGAAGCUCUUGAUCGAAGCCCCGGUAAACGGCGGCCGUAACUAUAACGGUCCUAAGGUAGCGAAAUUCCUUGUCGGGUAAGUUCCGACCUGCACGAAUGGCGUAACGAUGGCGGCGCUGUCUCCACCCGAGACUCAGUGAAAUUGAAAUCGCUGUGAAGAUGCAGUGUAUCCGCGGCUAGACGGAAAGACCCCGUGAACCUUUACUAUAGCUUUGCACUGGACUUUGAAUUUGCUUGUGUAGGAUAGGUGGGAGGCUUUGAAGUGGGGACGCCAGUUCUCAUGGAGCCAUCCUUGAAAUACCACCCUGGCAACUUUGAGGUUCUAACUCAGGUCCGUUAUCCGGAUCGAGGACAGUGUAUGGUGGGUAGUUUGACUGGGGCGGUCUCCUCCCAAAGAGUAACGGAGGAGUACGAAGGUGCGCUCAGACCGGUCGGAAAUCGGUCGUAGAGUAUAAAGGCAAAAGCGCGCUUGACUGCGAGACACACACGUCGAGCAGGUACGAAAGUAGGUCUUAGUGAUCCGGUGGUUCUGUAUGGAAGGGCCAUCGCUCAACGGAUAAAAGGUACUCCGGGGAUAACAGGCUGAUACCGCCCAAGAGUUCAUAUCGACGGCGGUGUUUGGCACCUCGAUGUCGGCUCAUCACAUCCUGGGGCUGAAGCCGGUCCCAAGGGUAUGGCUGUUCGCCAUUUAAAGUGGUACGCGAGCUGGGUUUAGAACGUCGUGAGACAGUUCGGUCCCUAUCUGCCGUGGACGUUUGAGAUUUGAGAGGGGCUGCUCCUAGUACGAGAGGACCGGAGUGGACGAACCUCUGGUGUUCCGGUUGUCACGCCAGUGGCAUUGCCGGGUAGCUAUGUUCGGAAGAGAUAACCGCUGAAAGCAUCUAAGCGGGAAACUUGCCUCAAGAUGAGAUCUCACUGGGAUCUUGAAUCCCCUAAAGGGCCGUCGAAGACUACGACGUUGAUAGGUUGGGUGUGUAAGCGCUGUGAGGCGUUGAGCUAACCAAUACUAAUUGCCCGUGAGGCUUGACCA
rnacentral:rRNA from 1 species